CCUACGGGAGGCAGCAGUGAGGAAUAUUGGUCAAUGGGCGAGAGCCUGAACCAGCCAAGUAGCGUGAAGGAUGACUGCCCUAUGGGUUGUAAACUUCUUUUAUAAAGGAAUAAAGUGAGGCACGUGUGGGAUUUUGUAUGUACCAUAUGAAUAAGGAUCGGCUAACUCCGUGCCAGCAGCCGCGGUAAUACGGAGGAUCCGAGCGUUAUCCGGAUUUAUUGGGUUUAAAGGGAGCGUAGUGGGGUUGUUAAGUCAGUUGUGAACGUUUGCGGCUCAACCGUAAAAUUGCAUUUGAUACUGGCAGUCUUGAGUACAGUUGAGGUCGGCGGAUUUCGUGGUGUAGCGG
rnacentral:rRNA from 1 species